rnacentral:rRNA from 1 species
UACGGGGGGGGCAAGCGUUGUUCGGAAUUACUGGGCGUAAAGGGCUCGUAGGCGGCCAACUAAGUCAGACGUGAAAUCCCUCAGCUUAACCGGGGAACUGCGUCUGAUACUGGAUGGCUUGAGUUUGGGAGAGGGAUGCGGAAUUCCAGGUGUAGCGGUGAAAUGCGUAGAUAUCUGGAGGAACACCGGUGGCGAAGGCGGCAUCCUGGACCGACAUUGACGCUGAUGAGCGAAAGCGUGGGGAGCGAACAGG